rnacentral:rRNA from 1 species
AUACGUAGGUGGCAAGCGUUGUCCGGAAUUAUUGGGCGUAAAGCGCGCGCAGGUGGUUCCUUAAGUCUGAUGUGAAAGCCCCCGGCUCAACCGGGGAGGGUCAUUGGAAACUGGGGAACUUGAGUGCAGAAGAGGAUAGUGGAAUUCCAAGUGUAGCGGUGAAAUGCGUAGAGAUUUGGAGGAACACCAGUGGCGAAGGCGACUGUCUGGUCUGUAACUGACACUGAGGCGCGAAAGCGUGGGGAGCAAACAGGAUUAGAUACCCUGGUAGUCCACGCCGUAAACGAUGAGUGCUAAGUGUUGGGGGGUUUCCGCCCCUCAGUGCUGCAGCUAACGCAUUAAGCACUCCGCCUGGGGAGUACGGUCGCAAGACUGAAACUCAAAUGAAUCGACGGGG